rnacentral:rRNA from 1 species
GAUGAACGCUGGCGGCGUGCCUAAUACAUGCAAGUCGAGCGAACAGAUGAGGAGCUUGCUCCUCUGACGUUAGCGGCGGACGGGUGAGUAACACGUGGAUAACCUACCUAUAAGACUGGGAUAACUUCGGGAAACCGGAGCUAAUACCGGAUAAUAUAUUGAACCGCAUGGUUCAAUAGUGAAAGACGGUUUUGCUGUCACUUAUAGAUGGAUCCGCGCCGCAUUAGCUAGUUGGUAAGGUAACGGCUUACCAAGGCAACGAUGCGUAGCCGACCUGAGAGGGGAGUGGCCCACACGACAAGAGCAACGCGGUACGGACCAGAAGGGGAGGGGGAGGAGGAGAGUGGCCGAGAGGGGGAGAGGGCAGAGGGGGGCACAGCCGGGGGGGGUAAAAGGGUUUGGGGAUAGUAAAAGUAUUAUAUUAGGGAAAAACAAUAAGGAAAGAAACGAGGAGCUUGUUGAAGGUACCAAAUGAAAAAGCACCGGCUAACUCCGUG